UACAGAGGUCUCAAGCGUUGUUCGGAUUUAUUGGGCGUAAAGGGCGCGUAGGCGGCGGGGUAAGUCGGGUGUGAAAUCUCAGGGCUCAACCCUGAAACUGCACUUGAUACUGCCGUGCUUGAGGACUGGAGAGGAGACUGGAAUUUACGGUGUAGCGGUGAAAUGCGUAGAUAUCGUAAGGAAGACCAGUGGCGAAGGCGGGUCUCUGGACAGUUCCUGACGCUGAGGCACGAAGGCCAGGGGAGCAAACGGG
rnacentral:rRNA from 1 species